AACGAACGCUGGCGGCAUGCCUAACACAUGCAAGUCGAACGAGACCUUCGGGCCUAGUGGCGCACGGGUGCGUAACGCGUGGGAACCUGCCCUUAGGUUCGGAAUACCUCACCGAAAGGUGAGCUAAUACCGGAUAAUGUCUUCGGACCAAAGAUUUAUCGCCUUUGGAUGGGCCCGCGUUGGAUUAGCUAGUUGGUAGGGUAAAGGCCUACCAAGGCGACGAUCCAUAGCUGGUCUGAGAGGAUGAUCAGCCACACUGGGACUGAGACACGGCCCAGACUCCUACGGGAGGCAGCAGUGGGGAAUAUUGGACAAUGGGCGAAAGCCUGAGCCAGCAAUGCCGCGUGAGUGAUGAAGGCCUUAGGGUUGUAAAGCUCGUUUACCCGGGAUGAUAAUGACAGUACCGGGAGAAUAAGCGCCGGCUAACUCCGUG
rnacentral:rRNA from 1 species